UACGUAGGGUGCGAGCAUUGUCCGGAAUUAUUGGGCGUAAAGAGCUCGUAGGCGGUCUGUCGCGUCUGCUGUGAAAUCCCGAGGCUCAACCUCGGGCCUGCAGUGGGUACGGGCAGACUAGAGUGAUGUAGGGGAGACUGGAAUUCCUGGUGUAGCGGUGAAAUGCGCAGAUAUCAGGAGGAACACCAAUGGCGAAGGCAGCUCGCUGGGACGGUACUGACGCUGAGACGCGAAAGCGUGGGGAGCGAACAGG
rnacentral:rRNA from 1 species